rnacentral:lncRNA from 1 species
CUUCUAUACUUGUCAAGACAGAUUAUCUUUAUAUGAUGUGCUGCACAAUUGAAAGUAGAAAAUCACCCCAAAAAUAGGCUAUGCCUUCAAAAUUCAAAUUAGGUCUCCAUAGAAAAUACUAGACAAGUCUCCAAUUUCAUGAUACCAAACUAAAUCCAGCAACAAAAUUCAGCAUACUACAUAUUUUAGUCUAAAAAACAUUUCCUCUAAGCCUGUUGUAUGUUUGAUGACUCACCACCAAAAAUCAGCUUAAAGGCUGCUGCUAUUGGUUUCCGUACCCAUUUGUAGAUGUCCCAUAAGCUGCAGCUGUAGCAGCAGCAGCAUACAUGUUUGGAUCCUGAUUCUGCGGAGCAUUUUAUCCAUACCCAUUGUAACCUUGCUUCCCGUAAAAAUUUCCAUUCCAUUGAUUACU